rnacentral:rRNA from 1 species
CAGUCGCCACGGGAAUACGAAGGGGGCUAGCGUUGCUCGGAUUUACUGGGCGUAAAGGGCGCGUAGGCGGACAGUUUAGUUGGGGGUGAAAGCCCGGGGCUCAACCUCGGAAUUGCCUUCAAUACUGGCUGUCUUGAGUACGGGAGAGGUGAGUGGAACUCCGAGUGUAGAGGUGAAAUUCGUAGAUAUCAGGAGGAACACCUGUGGCGAAAGCGGCUCACUGGACCAUAACUGACGCUGAGGCACGAAAGCUAGGGGAGCAAACAGGAUUAGAUACCCGUGUAGUCCCUGUCUCUUAUAA